rnacentral:rRNA from 1 species
UACGGAGGCUGCGAGCGUUAUCCGGAAUUACUGGGUUUAAAGGGUGCGUAGGCGGCCCUGUAAGUCAGGAGUGAAAGUUUGCGGCUCAACCGUAAAAUUGCUUUUGAUACUGCGGGGCUAGAAUUAGGAUGAGGUCAGCGGAAUGUGGCAUGUAGCGGUGAAAUGCAUAGAUAUGCCAUAGAACACCAAUUGCGAAGGCAGCUGGCUAGACCUGGAUUGACGCUGAGGCACGAAAGCGUGGGGAGCGAACAGG